GACGAACGCUGGCGGCGUGCCUAAUACAUGCAAGUCGAGCGAGCGGAACUAACAGAUUUACUUCGGUAAUGACGUUAGGAAAGCGAGCGGCGGAUGGGUGAGUAACACGUGGGGAACCUGCCCCAUAGUCUGGGAUACCACUUGGAAACAGGUGCUAAUACCGGAUAAGAAAGCAGAUCGCAUGAUCAGCUUUUAAAAGGCGGCGUAAGCUGUCGCUAUGGGAUGGCCCCGCGGUGCAUUAGCUAGUUGGUAAGGUAAAGGCUUACCAAGGCGAUGAUGCAUAGCCGAGUUGAGAGACUGAUCGGCCACAUUGGGACUGAGACACGGCCCAAACUCCUACGGGAGGCAGCAGUAGGGAAUCUUCCACAAUGGACGCAAGUCUGAUGGAGCAACGCCGCGUGAGUGAAGAAGGUUUUCGGAUCGUAAAGCUCUGUUGUUGGUGAAGAAGGAUAGAGGUAGUAACUGGCC
rnacentral:rRNA from 1 species